ensembl:processed_transcript E130307A14Rik RIKEN cDNA E130307A14 gene
CAGACCUCAAGAAAACACAAGAUCCUACAUACAUGUGCAACCCUAAAAGUAGUGCUCUCAAUAAGGAGGAACACGUGAGACCAAACAGAGAAGCAAAGAGUGUGGAAUGCAUCAGUUAAAAUCUCAAGAAACCCCGAGGCAGAGGAUUAAGAGAUACUGAAGAGAAGAUGAGUCUGUGUGCAUUUAUCUGUGCUUAGCCUGCUCCGAAUGGGAACUCAGCUCUCAAAUGAAGGUGUGUGUGGUAUGUGAUGGUGGAAGUAACCAGCAGCCAGGCAAAUGGCAGAGCGUGGCCCUUUUCCACCUCCAUGUGUAAUAAUUGCAGGACUCCCUUCCCAGACAAGACUGCUCACUCCUGCAGAAAAUGACCUUGUUCUUGAGAGCUGCUGCUAAUUUACAGUGAGGCACUAGGUUUCUACCCAGUGCCACGUGAGCAACCAAUCCAUCUACCCAGGGGCACGGCACUGACGAGCAGCAUCAUUUAGAAGGAAAGAAGUAUGGGUGGUGUUUGUUGUUUCCUGUGUGUUAAGGAAAAUCCAGUGGUAAGCAGUUUGGGAGCAUUGCUUCUGAGCUAGGCUCACUGAGGAAGGGGAAAGCUGCAUUGUACUAUCUACAUAAAAAUAUAGCCGAG